CCCUCCAGCCCAGCAGGGAUCCUCCUGGUCAUCCCCCUAAGUUACUCUGAGCUGGUUUUGUGGAGACAUAAAGUUCAUUUCAGGUAGCUGAAGUUUUCAGUUGUUUUUAUGCUGCUGAACUGAACUUCAAGUUUAUUUUAUUUCCCCUGCAGAUGUAACUUUGCUUGUUCUUCGCUUGUGUCCAGGCUGAAAGCUGAAGGCUGUGGUCGAUCUUUGGACGCUUUCUUCCCGUCUGCAGUUGCGGCCCGGUGGGAAACGAACCGGCAGAUGGUUGGAUCUACUUUUCUUUCCUCCACACUGACUCAGCUGGACCAGACUGACCUUCUGAUGUUCAUCCAUCUAAUUUACUGCAGCAUUAAUCCACAGCACUUCAAUAACUGAUUAAAUACAGAAAAAAAGUCUUUUUAUCGUUUCACAACAGAUUUGACAUCAUCCAUCAUUUAAACACAAUCUGUUAAAAAACAGAUCAAGCAAAAACAUUUGAGAAUUUAUUACAGUUUUCAUCACAUUAAUAAAAUGAUGUGACUGCAGCAUUAAUCCGCACAACAUUCAGUGUUGAUGCGUUUCGAUAAUUAAACACAGAGAAAUUUGUCCUUUUA